CAACUGAAACACCAUUUUCCAUACGAUCACCAUAGUUAAGCAAUAUUGGGCCUGGCCAGUACCUAGUGGGGUAAUCACUUGGGACUAUCAGGUGCUGUAA